AGCGAACGCUGGCGGCAGGCUUAACACAUGCAAGUCGAGCGGGCCCUUCGGGGUCAGCGGCGGACGGGUGAGUAACGCGUGGGAACGUGCCUUCUGGUCUGGAAUAACCCUGGGAAACUAGGGCUAAUACCGGAUACGCCCUUUUGGGGAAAGGUUUACUGCCGGAAGAUCGGCCCGCGUCUGAUUAGCUAGUUGGUGGGGUAACGGCCUACCAAGGCGACGAUCAGUAGCUGGUCUGAGAGGAUGAUCAGCCACACUGGGACUGAGACACGGCCCAGACUCCUACGGGAGGCAGCAGUGGGGAAUAUUGGACAAUGGGCGCAAGCCUGAUCCAGCCAUGCCGCGUGAGUGAUGAAGGCCUUAGGGUUGUAAAGCUCUUUGAUCCGGGACGAUAAUGACGGUACCGGAGGAAUAAGCCCCGGCUAACUUCGUG
rnacentral:rRNA from 1 species